CACUUUGAAAGAGUCGAUCAGAAAGACCACCUUGGGGAUGCCUUCCAGGGAGGGCAGCUGCCCAUCAUCUGGCACCUCCAGGUCGAACCUCUGCAGCAGCCAGGCCAUGAUGAGGAAGAGCUCCUGGCGGGCCAGGAUCUCACCUAUACAGGAGCGAGGUCCUGCUCCGAAGGGCAAAUAGCUUACUGACGGAAACUCACCGAUGCUGCUCCAGAGUGGAAGAGGAAAAGUGGGUCUGGGACUUCGUACUCCCUUCCUUGCUCAGCCUCAUGCCCCCUCAUUCUUCCGCCGCCCAGGAGAAGCAAGGGCUUAGAGAAGAAUCCAACUGUGACAUCGAGAAGAGCCUGUCCAGUCCCUUCCCAGUAGUGGCUCUGGGGCCCAGGCCCGGCUUCCAGAAGAUGGGGCAGCUCUACUCUGGGGUCAAAGCCAACUACUGCUUGGGUGCCAGAGUCUCUCCUGGAGGCGGAUCUUAGCUUUCUGUCUCUGGAAGUUCCUACUCCACCCCUGACCUUCAGCCAGAAUGGAAGGCAAGAUGGGGACACAGAACGGGUUUAUCAUGACGACGAAGACAAUUCUAAACAAGGGAGGAGGGCGUGGUCUCCACCUCUCCUUCCCCAUUCAAUCAAACAUCAAGCGCUGACUCUGCUAUGUGUCCAGCCCUUAGGAGUGAGAGAGACAUGAGCCUGAAGGCUCAGACAAGCUCCUUAACCCCGCUAAGCCUGCUUCUCACCUGCACAAUGGGGAUAAUAAAACCUACUUCCAAGGGGAAUUCAGCGAUGAAU
rnacentral:lncRNA from 1 species